GUGAUAACAAAUCCGGUAAAUAGUCUAAUUCGGUAGGUCACAUUCAUGAAAGGGAAGGGGAUUGUAGUUACGACGUAAGGAACAUAUCCGAUAUCAUUUGUGAAACGGUUAUUCCAUAACGGUCAACCAACUCGUGAUGGCGUCCGUAAAAUUUACGAAGGGAUGAUUUCAACUUCACCAUUUGGAACUCUUGGUUCAAUAGCUUCCUUGUGAGCAGCAACCCUCUAUCAAGAAAAUCAUGAUAGGAAAUGCAAGCACGGGAAUAUCGUAUCAAUUGGGAGAUAUAUACCCCGUAUGCAGGUGCUGCUGGAAUGUUGCUACUUAGAAAUGGAAAGUUCACAAUUGGAAAGCUGAAAUCAUCUUUUUUGUCGUAAAGUUUUGUUUUCAACCGACC
rnacentral:lncRNA from 1 species